AGAGAUGCAUUGGGCGUAAAGGGCGUGUAGGCGGCGUGACAAGUCGGGUGUGAAAGCCCUCAGCUCAACUGAGGAAGUGCGCCCGAAACUGUCGUGCUUGAGUGCCGGAGAGGGUGGCGGAAUUCCCCAAGUAGAGGUGAAAUUCGUAGAUAUGGGGAGGAACACCGGUGGCGAAGGCGGCCACCUGGACGGUAACUGACGCUGAGACGCGAAAGCGUGGGGAGCAAACAGGAUUAGAUACCCUGGUAGUCCACGCCGUAAACGAUGAGAACUAGGUGUCGUGGGAGUUGACCCCCGCCGGUGCCGAAGCUAACGCAUUAAGUUCUCCGCCUGGAAGUACGGUCGCAAGACUAAAACUCAAGGAAUUGACGG
rnacentral:rRNA from 1 species